GAUGAACGCUGGCGGCGUGCCUAAUACAUGCAAGUCGAGCGAACAGACGAGGAGCUUGCUCCCCUGACGUUAGCGGCGGAAGGGUGAGUAACACGUGGAUAACCUACCUAUAAGACUGGGAUAACUUCGGGAAACCGGAGCUAAUACCGGAUAAUAUAUUGAAUCGCAUGGUUCAAUAGUGAAAGACGGUUUUGCUGUCACUUAUAGAAGGAUCCGCGCCGCAUUAGCUAGUUGGUAAGGUAACGGCUUACCAAGGCAACGAUGCGUAGCCGACCUGAGAGGGUGAUCGGCCACACUGGAACUGAGACACGGUCCAGACUCCUACGGGAGGCAGCAGUAGGGAAUCUUCCGCAAUGGGCGAAAGCCUGACGGAGCAACGCCGCGUGAGUGAUGAAGGUCUUCGGAUCGUAAAACUCUGUUAUUAGGGAAGAACAAAUGUGUAAGUAACUAUGCACGUCUUGACGGUACCUAAUCAGAAAGCCACGGCUAACUACGUG
rnacentral:rRNA from 1 species